UUCAAACAGCGUUUCCCGUAAGAUCACCGAAGUUAAGCAACGUCGAUCCUGGUCAGUAACUAGAUGGGUGACUUCUCGGGAAUAUCAUGUGCUGUAAG